rnacentral:rRNA from 1 species
UACGUAGGGCGCAAGCGUUGUCCGGAAUUAUUGGGCGUAAAGAGCGUGUAGGCGGCCAAGCAGGUCCGCUGUGAAAACUCGAGGCUCAACCUCGAGAGGUCGGUGGAAACCGUUUGGCUAGAGUCCGGAAGAGGAGAGUGGAAUUCCCGGUGUAGCGGUGAAAUGCGCAGAUAUCGGGAAGAACACCCGUGGCGAAGGCGGCUCUCUGGGACGGUACUGACGCUGAGACGCGAAAGCGUGGGGAGCGAACAGG